rnacentral:rRNA from 1 species
AUUGAACGCUGGCGGCAUGCUUUACACAUGCAAGUCGAACGGUAACAGGCCGCAAGGUGCUGACGAGUGGCGAACGGGUGAGUAAUGCAUCGGAACGUGCCCAGUCGUGGGGGAUAACUACUCGAAAGAGUAGCUAAUACCGCAUACGAUCUAUGGAUGAAAGCGGGGGACCGUAAGGCCUCGCGCGAUUGGAGCGGCCGAUGUCAGAUUAGGUAGUUGGUGGGGUAAAGGCUCACCAAGCCAACGAUCUGUAGCUGGUCUGAGAGGACGACCAGCCACACUGGGACUGAGACACGGCCCAGACUCCUAUGGGAGGCAGCAGUGGGGAAUUUUGGACAAUGGGCGCAAGCCUGAUCCAGCAAUGCCACGUGCAGGAAGAAGGCCUUCGGGUUGUAAACUGCUUUUGUACGGAACGAAACGGCUCUGGUUAAUACCCGGGGCUAAUGACGGUACCGUAAGAAUAAGCACCGGCUAACUACGUG